GAGUGUACAGCUCAGUGGCAGAAUGUGUGCUUAGCAUGCACUAGGUCCUGGGUUCAAUCCCCAGUAACUUCA
rnacentral:tRNA from 1 species